UUGUUUUCUACUUGAGCAAAAAAGAGCUUGGAAGAGGGGCCAGCAGUACUUGAUUUAGCCCGAUACGCAAGAGCUUGGAAGAGGGGUCGGGACUUGAAAGAACAGGUAGAAUGAAAGCGUGGAAAUAAUCUGGCAACCUGUAAUAUCAACAAGCUUGAAAUCGAUUGGGAAGGAAAAAAAAAAAACAAAAAGAAGGAGAAGCAAUGAAGAAAGGAAGAAAAUGAUUGAGACAAGUUCGAAGCUGGAGUUUACCUAGGACAUGCCACACUUACUGGUGAAACUGAAGCUGCUGGUACCAAGGAUUCACUUGUCCAACAAGUUUGUCAGCUGAUUGUUUGUAAGAAAAACAAGAACAUGCAUGGAUGAAUCUGGCAGCUUAUUUUUGCGACAAAUGGGCAUAGAUAUGAACUCUUAUCUGUAUGCAACUUAUUUUAUGGAAACUCAAGAAGAGAGAUAAUUUCAGAAAAGCUUGUAAAGAGGUGUUUGAUUCAUCUAUUUAUAGCCUUACAUAAUAAUAAUCUAAGAUGUAAUCGAAGUUAAUUAGAUCAUAUCAGAAUUACUCCUUAGAUCCUAAUCCUGUUAGCUUAUGUUUCUGACUUUCCAUUGGACUUGUAACUUUGAAAAUCCUUGGAUCUCAUCAACGUCAUGGCACAAACCACUGCUAAUUGGAGACUUGGAUUAUUAGCAUUCAGAUUACUUAAUGAAAUAACCAGUAAUAUCUUUCUGAGUCAGAGAAUAUUAACCUUCAUUGCUUGGUUAUCUAGGGAGUCUUAUUGCUUGUAUAUACUUCUAAGAGUAGCGUCUCUUCAGAUCAUGACUGUACUCAAUUUCCCUAUGACAGAUGCCAUCAAGAUCUUUGAAAUAGCGUCGCGUAUAUCCAAUCCAGAAAGCGUAUCAUCCCUGGCGGUGGAACUGAGAGCUGUCAUUUGAAGCUACCCUGAAGCUGAUUUGGAUAAUUACAGCUCAGGAUUUUCUUGAAACUAAGAUCAUUGUUGUCCUUUUCCCUAAACGAAUUCUGUAAAUGUAGAAUGACCAGCGCCCUUGAUUGAUAAAGGGUUAACUAUUGUACUUCAAAUUUUUCAUGGACUCUAUCUACCCUGUCGCUACCCCACAUCGCAGUGACCCUCCCUCUUUCCACAAAAUCCAGAGGAAAUGAAUCUUUUGUGUGAAAAGGGGGGGGAAGGUCCAAUUAAGAAAAAUGAGUCUCCUAAUAUAUAAGGCUUCUAAUCGGUGGAAAAUAAUUAACCCUAAUCUAGUUUAGACAAAUCAUAACUCAGGACUCAACUGAGGAACUUAAGCCUGGCUGGCUGAGUGCCUGAUUUUAGGAGUGGUUCUGCCACAUAGAAUGCCUCUUAUUUCUGGACUUCUCUUCUCCUUUUCCUCGUAGGAUUUUUCCUCCUUCUUCUAGUCCAAUUCCCGCUAGGAAACUCCCUCAGGUUGCCGACUUAUAGGUACUGGAAAACCCAAUCCGCCAGGACUCCUGCACUGACUCUGUUGGGAAUUCUGCCGUGCUUGCUGCUGUUACCGCUUCCAUAACUUGCUGGGGAUUUCUGCUGCUGCCUUUGCUUCUUCUCAGCCUGCUGGAUAAGGAUUCUUCAAGGUUGUCUUUAGAGCAAAAUUCUUGUCCCCCCAUACGGUGAAAGAAGCCUUUCCAAUACCAUAGAGGAAAAUCAUUAUUCUUUAUUUUUUUUAUAUUAUCCAUUAUCUCUUCACCAUUCAUUUUUUUUUUCAUUUAAUUUUUUUCCAAAACUCAACUCAAUUUAGUCCUGUCUAUUUCUAUUUUUUCUAUCCUAUGUAACAUACCAAACACACUUUUAGUGGAAAAAAAAACAUAGUAAUUAAAUUGCCAAAUAAA